rnacentral:misc_RNA from 1 species
UUUCCGUAGGUGAACCUGCGGAAGGAUCAUUACCGAGUGAGGGUCUCUCAGGCACGACCUCCCACCCUGUGUUUUUGUGACCUUGUUGCUUUGGCGGGUCUGCCUCGGUGGGAGGCCGCCGCAAUCUCACCGCUUUGGGCCCGUGACCGCCAGUAGCCCUCUUAAAUUCUUAAUUAACCUGUCGUCUGAGCCUAGAUAUAAUAAAAAAAACUUUCAACAACGGAUCUCUUGGUUCUG